GCAGCGAAAAUAUCAAACAAUUAGAGAGUUGAGAGAGAGAGAGAGAUUUACAAACAAGGUUUAUACUGGUUCACUCAAUUCCUGAGCUACAUGCAGUCCUCAGUCAAACCACUAAGUAUUCCACUAUGUAACCAAACACAGAUUACAAACACCCACAAAGAGGUGAUCCUGAAACCACAAGACCUACUCACCCUCUUUGAACACAACACACACCUCAAGCCAGAAUCACACUCACUUUACAGGAUUUUACAAACACGUUUACAGAAUGUAAUAUGAACAAUUACAAGAAACUAAGACAGAGUAGAAAACAUCCGGAAUCAGUAAAUCAGAAGCCCUAUGAUCAGUUCUUGAAUCACAGCAAAGCUCAAAAGCAAUCUAUCUAAACUUGAAAAACUCCUUUUCACAAACAGAUUGUAAUCUUUCUUUUUGAUCUCAAAUCAGAGUGUAAAACUUCUAUAUUUCUCUCGCAUGAAACUUUUGAAAGAAGGCUAUAUUUAUAACCUUUGAAAAACUAUCGUUUAAGGCAGAUUUGAACAACUGAAUCAAUUAAAACAGGUUUUCAAAAUACUGUUAUGAAAACUUACUUUUAAUCGGUUGAAACCACGAUAUAACCGGUUGAAUGGUUUCAGCAGUUACACAACUGAUUCAAAAAACAAUUUCAAAACUCCUUUGCCAGCUAAGUGACAAACAACCGAUUGUCUCGAAACCUUAAUCGGUUGUUUUUCCCUUUGCAUGGAAAAAACACUUAGUUCUUUAAAACAGAUUGCAACAACUUUCUGUAGGAAUCAAGACUGAUCUUACAAAGAUUCUAAACCCCAUAACUAAACCCAAACCUAAAACACAACACAACUUCAGGUUCCAUGAGGAUUUGAUACAUCAAAGCUUCCCAUCUUCAACAUUCUAGUGUGAUGUAAUCUUUACCAAUGACUCAAAUGGGAAAUUUGACAAACAAAAUUGUCAUUGAAUCUUUAUCUUCCAUCUUCACACUUAAUUCUUUAUAAACGCUUAAGAAUGUGACAAAAUUCUCAAAUAAAGAGGGAAAACGUACCUAAAGAAUCACCUUUAAAUCUUCAAUCCUCACAACCAUGUCUCUUAAGCUCUGUCAAAAUUAUAUACAUCUUGUUAACGAAAAUAUCAACAAACUGAGUUCGUAUGCUCCUACAUAAAAUAUGAUUAAGUUACACUCUCCAACACAUCGUGAGAUUUUACUUUAUGUAAACCUUAAAAGGUUGGAAGGAUCUUGACCAACUCAAGAUGUUUUGGAGAAGAGAAACUCCAGAGGUUUUUGAAGCAUUAAUGUCGAAAGCAUGUAAUCCAUGGUGAAAUCCAUUUUGUUUGCAUUAGUUUCAAUGUAAAAAUAAGAAUAAGUAAAGAAAUGAAAACAAAAAAUGAAUUAAGACAAGAGAAUGGAGAAGAACUUGCCACCUUUAAUUUAAGAACCAAAGGAUAAGUUUGACAAGAUUUACCACUUGAGAAAGCUUCUAAAGAUAAAAACAAAAGAAAGAAUAGAGAACUCUCAAAACUUUCAAAGUGAACUCACAAAGGAAAAUUUCAUUUAAUUUUCAAAAGUGUGUUUACAAAUGGAAUAGACUCUCUUAUGUAAAGGGUGAAUUUUUCCAAGGAGUGGAAAAGAGAGAAGAAAAUUUAUUUAACUUUUC
rnacentral:lncRNA from 1 species